GACGAACGCUGGCGGCGUGCCUAAUACAUGCAAGUCGAACGAACCGCGACUAAGUGCUUGCACUAAGUCAAGGUGAGUGGCGAACGGGUGAGUAACACGUGGGUAACCUACCUCAUAGUGGGGGAUAACAGUCGGAAACGACUGCUAAUACCGCAUAGGACAUAGGAUCACAUGAUCCAGUGAGGAAAGGUGGCGCAAGCUAUCGCUAAGAGAUGGACCCGCGGUGCAUUAGCUAGUUGGUAGGGUAAAGGCCUACCAAGGCGAUGAUGCAUAGCCGACCUGAGAGGGUGAUCGGCCACAUUGGGACUGAGACACGGCCCAAACUCCUACGGGAGGCAGCAGUAGGGAAUCUUCCGCAAUGGACGCAAGUCUGACGGAGCAACGCCGCGUGAGUGAAGAAGGUCUUCGGAUCGUAAAGCUCUGUUGUUAGAGAAGAACAGCGCAUAGAGUAACUGCUAUGCGUGUGACGGUAUCUAACCAGAAAGCCACGGCUAACUGCGUG
rnacentral:rRNA from 1 species